UAUAACACUAAACUCUCUUCCACUUUCUCCUUAGUUUUAUUUUAUUUUUCUCUCUGAAGAUGGAUGAUUUUGGGAACAAUAUCAUCAAAAAUAUAAUAAGAACUCUUAUUAUGGCUCCGGUGUAUACUACAGCCGGAUAUUUUGCAUACAGAACUGGACGCUGGUUCUAUAAUGAAGAGAUGAGGAGACUUGAUAUAAUAAGCUCUAACGAGGCGCGACGACGGAGAGAACAAAGGAUUAAAGAUAAACCACCUAAACGGUUUUUUUGGUUCUGGUGAUUGCUUGUUUUUAAUAAUAUAAUGUAAAACCAUCAUGAUUUAAAUUCAAAAAUUUAAUUAUAUGUAUUCAAGUUUAAAAUUUUAUCACAACCCAUUUGAUUUUCUUA